UACAGAUUCAACUGAAAGUGGUAACAUUUCAUAACAUUUCGCUAGCUUUAAGUUUAUCAAUGCGAUUACGAUGAACAGUCAACCGAUAACGUUAUUAGUGAAAAUCCAGUGCGUUCGCUACGACGAAAGAUUAUGCAUUUUGAGGCAGUAAAAUUGAUUUGACGAUGAUUUCUUUAAUUGUUUUUUAUUCAAAUCAAUUUUUUUGUUAUACCAGAAGGAAAAUACAAGGAAUAUUAGUUGAAAAAAUCGUUCUACAUGUUGUCAACAAAAGAAGCGUAAAGAGUGUCGUUUCACUUACACGUACGUGUGGAAUUGAAGAAACGCAAAGACAAACGCUAUUUCUAUGUGGUGGAAUACGUGUGGAACAAAUAAAACGAAACCCACAAACGAAACCCACCAAAAUUACAUUCUUAUGAUGAGAUCAGUUUAUAUGCUCAUUCUAACAAAAAAAUUGUUCUACAGCAGUACUCGAUAACUUAACGUUUUUUUUUAUAAAUUAACAAAUUGAAGAUGAGAAAGAUUAACGAUAGUGGACCUUUACAUAAUUCUCUAAAAAAACUGUAUAUUUCCAAGACAUGGCGUAGAACAAUUUUAUGCUCAGAAUAAUAAGUAGAAUCGAAUAAAAAUGGAAAAAAAAA